AUCGGGGGUGCUGCUUUCGCGGCUGAGACGGCUUUUGCCGAACCCUUUAACCUGAUACGGAUAAUGCCGGCGUAGGAAGAAUC
rnacentral:ncRNA from 2 species